rnacentral:rRNA from 1 species
UACGGGGGGGGCAAGCGUUGUUCGGAAUUACUGGGCGUAAAGGGCUCGUAGGCGGCCAACUAAGUCAGACGUGAAAUCCCCGCGUACCUUACGGGAACUGCGUCUGAUACUGGAGGCUUGGAGUUAUUGGGAGAGGGAUGUAGAAUUCCAGGUGUAGCGGUGAAAUGCGUAGAUAUCUGGAGGAAUACCGGUGGCGAAGGCGGCAUCCUGGACCAUUACUGACGCUGAGGCGCGAAAAGCUAGGGGAGCAAACGGG